AUUUCUUUGUACAGUGUACAGUGCGUAGUAUCUGUUCUUAUCAGUUUAAUAUCUGAUACGUCCUCGAUGAGAGGACUAUAAAAUUUUUUCCCAGCCAGCAUGGGUUCAUGAAAGGCAGGUCCUGCUUAACCAACCUGAUCUCCUUCUGUGACCUGGUGACCUGUCUGGUGGACGAAGGAGAGGCUGU
rnacentral:snRNA from 1 species